AAUUUUGGACAAUGGGGGAAACCCUGAUCCAGCCAUCCCGCGUGUAUGAUGAAGGCCUUCGGGUUGUAAAGUACUUAUGGCAGAGAAGAAAAGGUAUCUCCUAAUACGAGAUACUGCUGACGGUAUCUGCAGAAUAAGCACCGGCUAACUACGUGCUAGCAGCCGCGGUAAUACGUAGGGUGGAAGCAGUAAUCGGAAUUACUGGGCGUAAAGCGGGUGGAGGAGGUUCGGAAAGAAGGAUGUGAAAACAAAGGGCUCAACCUUGAAACUGCAUUUUUAACUGCCGAGCUAGAGUAUGUCAGAGGGGGGUAGAAUUCCACGUGUAGCAGUGAAAUGCGUAGAUAUGUGGAGGAAUACCGAUGGCGAAGGCAGCCCCCUGGGAUAAUACUGACGCUCAGACACGAAAGCGAGGGGAGCAAA
rnacentral:rRNA from 1 species